UGACGUAGCACGUAGGGGCUGGCUAGCCGCCAUCUUGCUUCUUUUUCCUCGCUCGCUCUCACCCUCUCAAGAGGUAGCGAAAGUGCUUUGGCGGUUUGUACGGCCGUGGCUCGGGCUUUCCGGACCGAGCGGCCCUGCGGACGAUCUCUGGAAACUCCUUCCCCUUCCUUGCCCCUAAUCCGUACCCGGCGAACCUCUGGAAGCGCGCAGACUUGGUUCUCACCCUGGCGGACUACUUUUAAGGGGUGUGGCAGGAGGUUUUGGACUAGAUGAGUUUCCACCGAAAUGUCGGAGAAGUCAGGCCAGAGCACAAAAGCAAAGGAUGGGAAGAAGUACGCAACACUCAGUUUGUUUAAUACUUACAAAGGAAAGUCCUUGGAAACACAGAAGACUACAGUUACAGCUCGACAUGGGUUACAAAGUCUUGGAAAAGUUGGUAUUUCACGGCGGAUGCCCCCACCUGCUAACCUGCCAAGUCUUAAAGCAGAAAACAAAGGCAAUGAUCCUAAUGUGAAUAUUGUGCCUAAAGAUGGUACAGGAUGGGCAUCAAAACAAGAGCAGCACGAAGAAGAAAAAGCACCAGAAGUGUCACCAGCACAGCCCAAACCUGGGGUUGCAGCUCCCCCAGAAGUAGCACCUGCUCCCAAAUCAUGGGCCAGUAACAAGCAAGGUGGGCAAGGAGAUGGAAUCCAAGUGAAUAGUCAAUUUCAGCAGGAAUUUCCCAGUCUGCAGGCAGCUGGAGAUCAGGAAAAAAAAGAAAAGGAAGCAAAUGAUGAAAACUAUGGACCUGGACCCAGUUUACGCCCACCAAAUGUUGCUUGCUGGAGAGAUGGUGGUAAGUCUGCUGGGUCACCUUCCUCUGAUCAGGAUGAAAAGCAACUUGCCCAGGAUGAAAGCACGGCUAUAACAUCAGAACAAAAUGACAUUCUCAAAGUGGUGGAGAAGAGGAUAGCGUGUGGUCCUCCACUGGCCAAACUGAAUGGACAGCAGCCUGCCCUUGCUUCUCAGUAUAGAGCUAUGAUGCCUCCAUAUAUGUUUCAGCAGUACCCAAGGAUGGCCUAUCCUCCUCUACAUGGUCCCAUGAGGUUCCCACCUUCUCUAUCGGAAACAAACAAAGGCCUUCGAGGACGAGGUCCUCCUCCUUCUUGGGCUUCUGAACCUGAACGCCCAUCCAUCCUUAGUGCAUCAGAAUUGAAGGAGCUGGAUAAAUUCGAUAACCUCGAUGCUGAAGCUGAUGAAGGCUGGGCAGGCGCCCAGAUGGAAGUAGACUACACAGAGCAGCUGAAUUUCAGUGACGACGACGAGCAAGGCAGUACCAGUCCUAAGGGAGACAGCAGUGAGGAUCAAACUUCAAAAACACCUGAAAGCACAGAAAACCGAAAAGAAGGAGAUGAAGCUUCCAGCACUAAGUCUUCUUCUCAGACACCUGCUCAGCCUCCAGUCACAAAAAGUCCUUAUGGGAAGGGCCCGCCAUUUAGUCAGGAGCGGACCUCAUCUUCACACUUGCCACCGCCUCCCAAGUUGCUUGCACAGCAGCAUCCCCCACCUCCAGAUCGACAAAUGCCUGGAAGACAGGGCCCCUUUCCUUCAAAGCCUCCAGUACCUGAUACCGAUGAAAUAUGGAAGCAAAGACGAAAACAACAGUCUGAAAUAUCUGCAGCAGUGGAGCGUGCUCGUAAACGCCGUGAGGAGGAAGAGCGGAGGAUGGAGGAACAGAGGAAGGCAGCGUGUGCAGAGAAAUUGAAGCAACUGGAUGAGAAGCUUGGGAUCAUAGAAAAGCAACCCUCCCCAGAGGAACUUAGAGAAAGGGAGAGAGAGAAGGAGCGGGAGCGGGAGAAAGAGCUUGAAAAAGAAAAAGAACAGGAACGGGAGAGGGAGCGGGAGCUUGAGAAAGAGCAGGAAAAGCAAAGAGAAAUGGAGAGGGCGAGACAGCAAGAGAAAGAGUUAGAACAACAGAGGGAAAAGGAGCAGGAACUACAAAGGCUGAAAGAACAAGAGAAGGAGGGCGAGUUGAAGGAAAAGGAAAGAGAGGAAAAAGUUGAACCCCAAGAACCUAAUGUAGAGCCUGCAACAGAAAACCAAGAAAGUGAAAACAACUGUAAGAAAGAAGAACAACCAGUUUUCACUAGACAGGACAGCAAUCGAAGUGAAAAGGAGACCACACAAGUGGUACAGGAAACAGAACCUGAGUCAGGGUCUCAACCCCGACCUGCUGUAUUAUCUGGCUAUUUCAAACAGUUUCAGAAAUCAUUGCCACCACGAUUUCAGCGGCAGCAGGAGCAAAUGAAACAGCAACAGUGGCAGCAGCAGCAGCAGCAACAGCAGCAGCAACAACAACAACAACAAGGCGUACUUCCACAGACUGUGCCUUCACAGCCGUCUAAUGGUUCAGUCCCUCCUCCACCACACAGACCCCUUUAUCAGCCAAUGCAGCCCCACCCCCAACAUCUGGCUUCUAUGGGUUUUGACCCAAGGUGGCUCAUGAUGCAGCCCUAUAUGGAUCCACGAAUGAUAUCAGGAAGGCCUGCUAUGGACAUCCCACCCAUACAUCCUGGAAUGAUUCCUCCUAAGCCGUUAAUCAGAAGAGACCAGAUGGAAGGGUCGCCUAACACCUCUGAAUCGUUUGAGCACAUGGCUCGAUCUGCGAGAGAUCAUGGAAUUUCUCUUUCUGAGCCUCGAGUGAUGUGGGGGUCAGACCCCUAUCAUGCUGAGCCUCAGCGGGCAGCUGCUUCCAAGUCUACUGAAGAAACUGGGGAUGCAAGGCCUGAAACUGCAGUGGACCAUGAGCAUAUGACUGCUACUUAUCCUGUAGAACAGAGUCAGUUAGAAACCCACUCAAAAACAGAUGUUGCUAGAGACUCAGCUGAAACAGAAGGACAAAAGUGUUUAAGCAGAUCCGUGGAAGAUGUAAGACCUCACCAUGUUGAUACAAACAGUCAGUCUGCUUGUUUUGAUGUAAUCGAUCAAAAGAGCCUACCUACUCCUACAGACGAGCGGAUCUCUGCACUGGAAAGUCAACCUGCCCGAAAAAGAAGUGUUUCCCACGGCUCUAACCAUGCUCAGAAUGCAGAGGAACAAAGAAAUGAGCCAUCUGUCAGCAUUCCUAAGGUCACCAGCAGAUGUACUGAUUCCAAAGAAACCAUAGAAAAGCCAGAGGAGAAGCCAAGAAAAGAUGGCUUUCUGCGAUCUUCUGAAGGACCUAAACCAGAGAAAGUCUAUAAAUCUAAAUCAGAAACUCGGUGGGGUCCAAGACCAAGCUCUAACAGAAGAGAGGAAGGUAAUGACAGGCCUGUGAGAAGGUCGGGUCCCAUUAAAAAACCUGUACUUAGAGAUAUGAAAGAGGAGCGGGAACAGAGGAAGGAGAAAGAAGGUGAAAAGAUUGAAAAGGUCACUGAAAAAGUUGUUAAAGCAGAAAAAACAGAAAAGAAAGAUCUUCCUCUUCCUCUACCACCUCCAGUUCCAGUUCAGCCCCAGUCAUUGGUCUCACCACCAGUACAGCCAGAACCAGAGAAACUACCCUCAACAGAAACGUCAGCUUUGACUCAGAAGCCAUCUCAGGAUGAGAAACCUGUGGAACCUGUUGUCAGUGUCCAGGUAGAACCUAUAGUUAAAACUACAAACCAACAAACUGUUGCAGCACCAACAGUCAAAGAAGAGAAGCCACCUGAGAAAGUCAUCAACAAAGAUGUUGGAGUAGAAAGACCUCGCCCAGACUCUAGAGUGGCAGUGAAAAAGGAGCCACCUUUACCUGCUAGGCCCUAUUGGAAGGAGGCCAGAGAUAGAGAUUGGUUUCCAGACCAAGGGUACCGAGGCAGGGGCAGAGGAGAGUAUUACUCCAGAGGUCGGAGCUACAGAGGCUCUUACGGAGGGCGUGGCAGAGGUGGUAGAGGGCACACCCGAGAUUACCCUCAGUAUAGGGACAGUAAGCCAAGAGCAGAGCAUGUGCCUUCCGGACCUCCCAGACAAAGAGAAGAGAGCGAGACACGCAGUGAGAGUUCUGAUUUUGAAGUUGUUCCCAAAAGAAGGCGACAGAGGGGCUCAGAGACCGACACAGACAGUGAAGUUCAUGAGAGUGCAAGUGACAAGGAUAGUUUAAGCAAAGGGAGACUUCCCCUAAGAGAGGAACGGUCCGAAAACAAAAAACCUGUCAAGCCACAGCCGUCUUUUAAGCCUGAAAACCAUGUCCGAAUAGAUAAUAGGCAAUUAGAGAAACCUUACAUAAGAGAUGAGGAGAAAUCUAAACCAGGUUUCCUUCCAAAAGGGGAGCCUACAAGGCGUGGCAGAGGAGGAACAUUCAGACGAGGUGGGAGGGAUCCUGGAGGCCGGCCAUCCCGCCCUGCUACCUUAAGAAGACCGGCUUAUCGGGACAAUCAGUGGAACCCAAGGCAGGCAGAACCUCCUAAACCUGAGGAUGGAGAGCCACCAAGAAGACACGAGCAGUUUAUGCCCAUACCUGCAGAUAAACGACCUCCAAAAUUUGAGCGAAAAUUUGACCCAGCUAGAGAGAGGCCCCGAAGGCAGCGUCCUACCCGACCACCAAGGCAAGAUAAGCCACCUAGAUUUAGACGGCUGAGAGAGAGAGAGGCUGCUUCAAAGACAAAUGAGGUGUUGGUACCCACAAAUGGCACAGUUAAUAAUGUUGUUCAAGAACCAGUUAAUCCACCUGUGGACAUUUCGGGAAAUAAGACACCAGAUUUGUCUAACCAGAACUCUUCGGAUCAGGCAAAUGAAGAAUGGGAAACAGCCUCUGAAAGCAGUGAUUUUAAUGAGAGAAGAGAGAGGGACGAGAAAAAAAAUGCUGAUAUGAGUUCACAAGCAGUUGUAAAGACUGGAGAAAGUGUUUUGCCUCCAAAAAGGGAAAUAGCAAAGAGAAGUUUUUCUAGUCAGAGACCUGGAGUUGAUCGCCAGAAUCGUCGUGGCAACAAUGGUCCACCCAAAUCAGGAAGGAAUUUCUCAGGUCCUAGGAAUGAAAGAAGAAAUGGCCCACCAUCAAAAAGUGGGAAGAGAGGGCCAUUUGAUGAGCAGUCCUCAGGCACAGCUGGUGUUGACCCUGUCAGUGGUAACUCUGCACAUCACCAAGAAGGGGUGCCUAACGGUGCAGGACAAAAGAAUUCCAAGGAUGCUACUGGGAAAAAGAGAGAAGAUACCAAACCCGGCCCUAAAAAACCAAAAGAGAAAGUAGAUGCUCUCUCACAGUUUGAUCUAAACAAUUAUGCAAGUGUUGUUAUCAUUGAUGAUCAUCCUGAAGUAACUGUAGUUGAAGACCCCCAGUCAAAUUUGAAUGAUGAUGGCUUUACUGAAGUUGUAUCUAAAAAACAGCAAAAGCGGCUACAGGAUGAGGAACGCCGAAAGAAGGAAGAGCAAGUUGUACAGGUAUGGAGCAAAAAAAAUAUAGGUGAAAAAGGAAGAAGUCAGACUUCUAAGCUUCCUCCAAGGUUUGCCAAAAAACAAGCUACUGGGACUCAGCAAGUUCAGGCCCCACCCUCUGCACCACUUCCAGUCUCUUCCUCAGCUCCAGCCUUAACAUCCCUGGCACCUGCAGUUCCUGCAUCCACCCCAGCUCCAGUUCCUGUGCUGGCAUCAGCCACAGCUCUAGUUCCAGUGUCAACCCCAGCUCCGGUUCUGACUUCAUGCCCAGCUCCAGUUCCAGCCUCAGCCUCAGCUCCUGUUCCAGCACCCACUUCAUCUCCAGUCACAGCCUCUUCCUCAUCCCAGCCGUCAGUCCCGGCUCCAACUCCUAUCCUGGCCUCAGCCUCAACUACAGUCUCCAUCCCUAUUCUCGCCUCUGCUUCGAUUCCUAUCCUUGCUUCAGCCCUAGCACCAGCUUCAGUUUCUUCUCCACCCCCAGUGGUCUCAGCUACAGCCGUGCCAUCUAUUUCAACACCAGCUGCCCCAGCCUUGGCCCCAACAGCCUCAGUUCCACUUGCCCCAGCCUCAGCUGCAUCCACUGCCCCAACCCCGGCCUCAACGGUACAGACGCAGACACAGAACCACAAACCAGUCCAGAGUCCACUUCCACCUUCAACACCAUCUUCAAAGCAGCCACCACCUUCGAUUAGAUUACCUUCAGCUCAGACAUCUAAUGGCACAGAUUAUGUAGCCACUGGGAAAUCCAUGCAGACUUCACAGUCACACAGCUCUCUAACAGCUGAGUUAUGGGAUAACAAAGUGACUGCUCCAGCUGUGCUCAAUGACAUUUCUAAAAAAUUAGGUCCUAUUAGUCCACCACAGCCACCUUCAGUCAGUGCAUGGAAUAAGCCCUUAACAUCAUUUGGAUCAGCAACAUCAUCAGAGGGAACAAGAAAUGGUCAAGAGAGUGGUGUUGAAAUUGGAAUUGACACAAUUCAGUUUGGUGCUCCAGCCUCAAAUGGGAAUGAAAAUGAGGUGGUUCCUGUGCUUUCAGAGAAACCAACUGACAAAGUUCCUGAACCUAAAGAGCAGCGUCAGAAACAGCCUCGGGCAGGGCCCAUUAAAGCUCAGAAGCUUCCAGACUUGAGUCUGGUAGAAAACAAAGAACAUAAACCUGGUCCCAUUGGAAAGGAACGAUCAUUAAAAAAUAGAAAAGUGAAAGAUGCCCAACAGGUUGAACCAGAAGGACAAGAGAAACCCAGCCCGGCUGCGGUCAGAAGCACAGACCCUGGAACAGCAAAGGAAACCAAAGCAGUCUCAGAAAUGUCUGCUGAGAUCGGAGCAAUGAUCUCGGUGUCCGCUCCAGAAUAUGGCACUGAUGCAAAGGUAGUCUGUAACAGACUACACUACACCUUCCUCUUCUCUGCCUAACACUGUGGCUACUAAUAAUGCAAAGAUGGAGGAUACUUUGGUUAAUAAUGUGCCCCUGCCCAGCAGCCUUCCCCUCCCUAAGAGGGAGGCCAUGCAACAGAGCUCCAGCCUGACCUCAGUUCCUCCUACUACUUUCAGCCUCACCUUCAAGAUGGAGUCUGCACGGAAGGCAUGGGAAAAUUCUCCAAAUCUAAGGGAAAAGGGGUCCCCAGUCACUUCUACAGCACCUCCAAUUGUGAGUGGCGUCAGCAGUAGUGCCAGUGGACCAAGCACUGCUAAUUACAACUCAUUUUCCAGUGCAUCAAUGCCUCAGAUCCCAGUUGCCUCGGUCACUCCUACAGCAUCGCUAUCAGGAGCUGGUACUUACACUACCUCUUCAUUGAGUACAAAAUCUACAACCACGUCGGACCCUCCUAAUAUUUGUAAAGUAAAACCCCAACAAUUACAGACCAGCAGCUUGCCUUCUGCCAGUCAUUUUUCACAGUUAAGCUGUAUGCCUUCCCUUAUUGCACAGCAACAGCAGAGUCCACAAGUUUAUGUGUCUCAGUCGGCAGCAGCUCAAAUCCCAGCCUUCUAUAUGGAUACAAGUCAUUUAUUCAAUACCCAGCAUGCGCGAUUGGCUCCGCCAUCCCUGGCCCAGCAGCAGGGCUUCCAACCUGGUCUGUCGCAGCCAACAUCCGUUCAGCAGAUUCCAAUCCCUAUCUAUGCCCCACUACAAGGGCAGCAUCAAGCCCAGCUGAGUUUGGGGGCUGGGCCUGCUGUUUCCCAGGCUCAGGAAUUAUUCAGUUCUUCAAUUCAACCAUAUAGGUCGCAGCCAGCCUUUAUGCAAAGCAGCCUUUCCCAGCCUUCUGUGGUCCUCUCUGGUACAGCUCUCCACAACUUCCCAGCAGUCCAGCACCAGGAGCUUGCCAAGGCACAGUCAGGUCUUGCCUUUCAGCAGACUUCAAAUACUCAGCCCAUCCCUAUACUGUAUGAACAUCAGCUGGGUCAGGCAUCAGGACUAGGAAGUUCUCAGCUGAUUGAUACACAUCUUCUUCAGGCAAGAGCAAAUCUUACUCAAGCGUCAAAUCUUUACUCUGGACAAGUACAGCAGCCUGGUCAGACAAAUUUUUAUAACACUGCCCAAUCACCAAGUGCUCUCCAGCAGGUUACAGUACCAUUACCAGCAUCCCAGCUUUCCUUGACUAAUUUUGGAUCUACAGGACAGCCUCUGAUUGCCUUGCCUCAGACACUUCAGCCCCAGUUACAGCACACAACCCCACAAGCACAGGCUCAGAGCUUGAGCCGUCCUGCCCAAGUAAGCCAGCCUUUCAGAGGGUUAAUCCCUGCUGGAACGCAGCAUGGCAUGAUGGCAACCACAGGAAAAAUGUCUGAAAUGGAACUAAAAGCCUUUGGGAGUGGCAUUGAUAUCAAACCAGGAACACCACCAAUUGGUGGUCGAAGCACCACGCCAACAUCUAGUCCAUUCAGGGCUACAUCAACAAGUCCAAACAGCCAGUCUAGCAAAAUGAACAGCAUUGUUUAUCAGAAACAGUUCCAGUCAGCCCCUGCCACAGUGAGAAUGGCACAGCCGUUUCCUGCACAGUUUGCACCCCAGAUUCUCUCUCAGCCUAACCUGGUCCCUCCAUUGGUAAGAGCCCCACAUACUAACACCUUCCCAGCGCCUGUACAGAGGCCACCAAUGGCACUGGCCAGUCAGAUGCCUCCUCCUCCGCUGACCACAGGCCUCAUGAGCCAUGCCCGUUUGCCACCUGUAGCCAGGGGCCCUUGUGGAUCACUGUCUGGAGUCAGAGGCAAUCAGGCCCAGGCUGCGCUGAAGGCUGAACAAGAUAUGAAGGCAAAGCAGAGAGCAGAGGUUCUUCAGUCCACGCAGCGGUUCUUCUCUGAGCAGCAACAGAGCAAACAGAUAGGAGGCAAAGCCCAGAAAGUGGACAGUGAUACAAGUAAACCUGAGACACUGAGUGACCCUCCUGGUACCUGUCAGGAAAAAGUAGAAGAAAAGCCACCCCCUGCACCCACCAUAACCACCAAACCUGUUAGAACUGGACCAAUCAAACCUCAGGCGAUCAAAACCGAAGAAACAAAAUCAUAAAGGCUGUGGUUUAUUGAGGGUGGGUGGGCAGGGAAAGUGAAGUCAAAUAAUGCCAGCAGCCACGGGGUGAAGUGAUCUGUGGCACUGUCCUGUGAGAUACACAAGGGGCAUAGAGCAUUUUACACUGACAGCUGCUACACCGAUUACAACAAGGCUCCACAGGCUCGCACCUCCCGUGUAACAUUUGCAUCUUCGGUUGGUUUAUAUACAAGUGUGCAAACAGUCUGUAAGUGCGCACAGUUUAAUCUUAAGGAGCAUGAAACACCAGAAGUAGGAGAAGAGUGAUAACCACAGAGUAGCUCAGCUGGACACUGGGCAGUCCCAUUGCCCCAUCAGCUGUGGUUCUUUUGCUCCCUUGUGUUCUUUGGAUAUGUCUAUGGCAUUUCUAGGCUUGAAAGUAAGAUGAUGCUAUCUGGUGCUGGAUAGAGGAGCCUUAUUUUUUAUUAUGGCAGCUUGCUAUUUUUGUAACAUGGUGAUUUGGUUGAACACAAUAAAGUACAGUAGUAACUGAUCUCCCCUUCUUCCUGGAUGAGUGAGCAGAUGAUUAAAUGUUGGUGUCAGCAUCCUUGAGCAUAUUCAGAUGAGCUUCUGCUUCUGUUGAAAAGGAUGCUGUGUUUGAUUGUGGUCCGAAGCUUUGAAGCACUACUUGGCAUCUCCUUCCUUGGAGGUCUCACUGUUUAAACGUAACAGAUUUGAUAGCUUGUUGGUAAGGUGAGGUCCAGCUUGUCUCCACUAGGUCAUCUUCAUGUGAAUCCGGUGGUUAUACGGUUUUGUUUUAGGGAUAUUUCAUUUUUUUAAUAACGGUUUUAGCUGACAUUCAUGGAGAGAAUGAAUCCUUAGAACUGUGCCACUAGUGAAAGGAAAUCCUGUCUAGAGUAUGUUUCUUUACAAAGCUGUGUCACACACCAUCCUUUGGGCCCUCUGCUGGAAAAGUAGAAUCAAGUCUCAAAUAAUGCCUUUUAAAUUGUAUCCUCUAGUAUUAUAGAUGUAGGACAGUACUGUAUCAUACCUCUGUGGAUGUAAAAUAGCUUGUACCUGCUUUAUGAUACGUAGUAGUGACCGUGCUUUAUCAGAGCUGUUUUUAAUGAUGUUGCUCAGAAUGUUUUCUUUCCAGAUGAUGAUUGAGAAGCUAAUUUAAAAAAAAAAAAAAUGGUGCCAGGUACCACAAGAGUAACAGAACUGUGCUGUUUUCUGGGGUUUUGUUUUUUUACUUUUUUUUUUUUUUAAUGGAGUGUGCUGGAUGUCUCUACAGUUUUGUUCAGAUGACUGCAGAACCUGGAAAAGCUGUUGCUGCUGUUGAUGCAUAACACACUGCUAUUAUUGGUCUUUUUAUAUAAAUAUAAAUAUAUAUAUACAGAUAUAUAAUUUGAAUUUUUUGAAACUUUAGCUGUGCUGUCAACUUUGGAAAAAAGUAUCCCCGUUUACUGUGUUGAGUUGGCACUGUACAGAAAUUAACAGCCAUAUUGGUCUAGAAAUGUUGAACUUAAGUUUUUUCCAUUUGUACAGGGGUAACGCACUGUAUUAAAUAUGUAAGGUCUUAUCUACGUGGGUUUGAUUACAAAAACUAAUAAAGUAUUCUCUAAAUAAUG